rnacentral:lncRNA from 1 species
GAGAAGUGGGCACUGUUCUUGACAGUUAUUCAAUACAGGAUUAGGGUCCACAGACUCUGUUUGGAAAGCAUGCCUACUGCAACGUUCUCCUUCUGGAUUCCCAGGCUAUGCGAAGUUCCCUUGGAUUAAAGUCUGUUUUACUCUUCCAGUAGAAACCAGGAAUGCAAACUCACAUUUGCAGCUCCUCACUAUGGAUCAAUCAAAUGUUUCCCAGAGACUCUCAGUGCUGUAUACAAUCUUGGACACUCCAAUUGUCUUUUAUCAGAAAAGCCACAACUGACACUCAGGCCAACAUAAGAACAAAGGACAGAAGAAAACAUAGAGUCAGGAUCUUGAAGUUACUGUGGGGAGGAAUAUCUGCUAUCAAGGUACCACUAACUGCCAAGCUGUGGAACUUAACAUUGAAGGGACUCUAAAAGUGUGUCGUGCCAGCCUGCCCU